CGGCAAGCAUUUAAAUAAAGGAAAGGUUUAGGAAAAUUAUCUAAAUUAGAUUAUUCGAUACACAACUAUAGAACAGUAAAAGCAAUAUACAAAAGAACCUUUCAUAUAGAAAGAAGUAACGUUUUCAUUAAAAUUUUAUUUAGAUGUUUUUAUUGUGGAUGUUCUAACACAUUAAUUUCAAAUCCAAAUAAGAAGAGUUUGGUGCAAAAGAGCUAUAAACACCCCGGUGUUGGACCGACCAGGGUAAUUUUUUCACAAGAAAAUGUUUAACGCACUGAACUGGUAAUUACAGCUAAUUCAUCUGAAUUCUGAAGAACUUUGCCGCUACAACAAGAACAACAACUAAGUGACUUGAAAAAUAUGUGUAAAGUGCGUUAAAUAUAUUUAUAAAUAUACACAUAGCCAAUAAAGUCUGCGUUCACCCGACACUGUUUUUUAAGUGAAGUAAAAACAAUGUAAAUAGGUAUUUCAGUUCAAAUUUUGUACAUGUAUUUCUUCUUUAUAUUCUUAAGUUCAAAAUGCAAAAACAAAAAUUUUAUA